GACAAUUGCUAGUUAAAAUAUAAUCUUUAAUUUAUUAAGAUUGGAUUAUAGCUGUUUCUAAAUUAUGGAAGAAACAUCCAAACGAGGUGACCUUUCUAAUCAUACUAGUUGUUCCGUAAACGAAGAGAAGUCUGCGUCAGAGCGCGAGAGGGGCAAGAAAAGAAAAGGGUCCCACGAAUCUGAUGAGGUCCCGAAGAGAUCUCGGUCGGGUGCUCAGGCC